UCAGAGCGAUUCCAGCUGGAAGUACAAAUUGAUUUUGCUGUUCACACAGUACGGGAUAUUCCGUUUAAAAGUGAAAUUGUACCAGUUGUAGCGGUGUAGAGAUGCAUUUUCACAAGUGAGACACUUUAAACUUAACAGCUGACACGCCAUUUUAAACGUGAUCUGCAACAGCGACGCCAAACAGGGAUACGUGAGACGUUUUGGCAAGGCCGGAGGACUCGGAGAAGCGCUAGAGCUGCUGCGCAGAAGGGGACGCUCGCCGAGUGCAGAGCAGACGUAAAUGAGGGAGCUUAAAUGAACUUUAUAAACUGCACUCAAGGGAGUGUUGGAUUGGAUCAGUGAGGGCCUGGGAAAGUCAAGCAUGCCUUCGUGUCAGGUGAAGUGACAAAGUAUGGGUAGAGGCUGCUGAAGACAAUGAGUGGUGACCGUGCAGGUAAACUUGGCUUUGGAACAGAAGACAUUGGAUUAGCGGCAGCUGCAAAACCCACGCAUUUACUCAGCUGGCACGCCGGUAUCGAGUUUCACCCGAACAAUGCCAUGUGUUUGGAAACAAACAUGACUCCCAAGCAUCUCAAAUGCAUCUUUGCUGAAUCUGG